UAUUUUUUGUACUUAGUGCAGCGAUUAAAAUGUAGCUUUGUAGCUUCAAAGGUAGACACAGUUUAAUGGCACUUCUCAUGUCAAGAACUCAGUGGUAAAGGUUGUUUUUACACAACAAAAACACUACACUCUAAGUAAACCGAACCAUUCAGCAGUGAAAAAUUGGGUCACAUGAUGUAGGCAAUUAUAGUCGCUGAAUUUUAUUGUAUCCAGAAAAUCAACCUGUCUGAGCCGCUACCACAUACGCAUGUAGCCAGCAUUUAAUUUCUAGAGAUAAUUGCCAAAACACGUUCUUUUAUCUGUGGACCAGAUUAUCUAGAUAUUGCAAUCAUUAAAGUAUGUGCGAAUUUUAAUUAACAAAUGCCGUCUUCUGCUUGUGGCACGGCAUUAUUCAAUGUUCAUGAAAUAAAAAAGAAAAUAUAUUAAAUGAG